rnacentral:lncRNA from 1 species
CUAUCUGAUCUGAUGGCUGAUGUAGAAUCCUACAUAUUUGGAACUCAGUGAUCGAGAAUCAGGAUUCUCUGAUCAUGAGUUCCACACAUUAUGGGUACCGGGGUCAAGAGUCCCAUUGGUUGGGACUUUUCGAUCAGGGUUACAUAUCGAUGAAUUCUGAUGCCUGAUUGCCCAUCGGAUUUGGACUCAGUAUUUAUGAGAGGUUUAAUUAGUGAUUUGAUCGCUAAUUAACUCAAUUUG